CCGACGGUGAGGGGUGAAAGCUGGGGGAGCAAACCGGAUUAGAUACCCGGGUAGUCCCAGCUGUAAACUAUGCAAACUCAGUGAUGCAUUGGCUUGUGGCCAAUGCAGUGCUGCAGGGAAGCCGUUAAGUUUGCCGCCUGGGAAGUACGUACGCAAGUAUGAAACUUAAAGGAAUUGGCGGGGGAGCACCACAAGGGGUGAAGCCUGCGGUUCAAUUGGAGUCAACGCCAGAAAUCUUACCCGGAGAGACAGCAGAAUGAAGGUCAAGCUGAAGACUUUACCAGACAAGCUGAGAGGUGGUGCAUGGCCGUCGCCAGCUCGUGCCGUGAGAUGUCCUGUUAAGUCAGGUAACGAGCGAGAUCCCUGCCUCUAGUUGCCACCAUUACUCUCAGGAGUAGUGGGGCGAAUUAGCGGGACCGCCGCAGUUAAUGCGGAGGAAGGAAGGGGCCACGGCAGGUCAGUAUGCCCCGAAACUCUGGGGCCACACGCGGGCUGCAAUGGUAACGACAAUGAGUUCCAAAAUCGAAAGAUGGAGGUAAUCCCUAAACGCUACCACAGUUGUGAUUGAGGGCUGCAACUCGCCCUCAUGAACAUGGAAUCCCUAGUAACCGCGUGUCAUUAUCGCGCAGUGAAUACGUCCCUGCUCCUUGCACUCACCGCCCGU
rnacentral:rRNA from 1 species